AACAGGGGUCAAGAAUUUGCCCUGAAACGGAGACGUGAAUAGUCAGUUGGUCACCAAAUCUCGAAAGGAUAAGUCAUAGAAAGAGCCAGUCAGAAGCAGAUCAAGGAAAGAGAAGAAUGAUUUUGUCUACAGAAAUUUUUGCAUCUUCUAAAAUAUACUUUUGUAAAUCCCGUCUUGAACUGCUAGUAAAUAAACCUUUUAAGACUCUGUUAAAAGAGAGGACAUUCAGUGUGUGCCACAGUAAGGAAGAAGACGUCAACCAUCACAUUCAAGAAGAGGAAAAAAAAGUGAAGAAGAGACAUUGUACGGACUUUGCCAAUAAAACCAAUUGUAUUGCUAGGGCAUUUCCAUCUAAGUGAAAGGUAUUUAUCCUCCAUAUACAGCCAGAGUUUGUGUGUUCUUGUAAACUCUCUCUCUUUAAUAAAGGACGUUGUUUGUUGUAUAAAUGUAGUCUCUGUACCUGUG
rnacentral:lncRNA from 1 species